GCCUCGGUAGUCUAAAGGCUUAGGACGUUCGCACGAUAUGCAAGAAAUCUGGGUUCGACUCCCGGCCGAGGUA
rnacentral:tRNA from 1 species